rnacentral:lncRNA from 1 species
AGAAGGCAGCCAAGGCCCACAAGGUUCCUCCAGGCCCCAGCUACCCUAUUUCCUCUAGCCUGCCCCUGUAAUGUAACCAGAUGACCUGUCGCCUCCCUAUUCUCCCUGCAUUCCAGGGCCCACCUAACGCAUCUGGAGGCCUCACGGAGGCCUUGGGGCCCCCUGAGGACCACAAAUCCGUUACUUCUCAGUGCCCUUAGGGACAUGGAGAAUGGUCCAAAAACAGUCUAUGCAAAUACAUGCAAAAGAGAUGUAAAUAGAAAUGUGAGCAUCCCCAGUUAAAGCCAAUUUCGGCUUUAAGUGUUGCUUCCCUCCUCUCUGCUUUGCCUGAGUCAUCAAAAUUUGUGAGUUUGUGUGAAUGAGUGAGAGUGCGUGUGGGAGAGAAAGAGAGACAGACAGAAACACAGGGCAAAAGACAGCGUGGCAGGCUGGGCGGGAAACCUGGCUCAAAGUGUGUGUGCUGUGCUGGGAUAUGGGAACACUGCUUAUGGCUGAGAAGCUCGUAUUAUAUGUUUCCCGGACUCCCCACUAUCCCCUGACAAACCCUGGGCUCACUGUCAAGGAUGGGGGAGCUGGACUGUGGGGAGCAGUGGUCCAGGGAGGAGGUGAGGGGCAAAGGGGAGCAGGUUGAGGUUCUCAAGGAUGUACUGGGGGUUCAGCUCUGAGUCUAAGACAAGGGGCUGGGGCCCCAGAGGAAACCUCUGAGCCCCUGAGGUAUGGGUCUGGAAGCCCCAUCAGUGCCAGUCAGAGGCCAUCCCCUUCCUUAGUGUUGCUGCUGCCCUGAGGAACUCGUGUGGGAGCCACUGGGCCAGCGAGGCUCUUGACCUUCGGGGGCCUUUCUUUCCUCAUCUGUAGACACAAGCGCUGGUGUGAGGAAACCGCAGUGCAAUGCUGAUUCUACACCAUCCUGCACUGGGACGGUGGUGUCUGCUGUUCCGGGAUUGAGAGAGAUGAAGCACUUACUCACCUCAGUGACUGGUGUGCGCAGCCACUCCCUGAAAGAAAACUGGCUCAGAGAGGCUGAGUAACCUGCUCAAGAUGACACAGCUUGUGGGUGGCUGAGUUGGCCUUCCAACCCAGAUUCCUGUCAUGUUCCUCAAGCCGACAGGUUCAGCUUGGUUGUGACCUCUGCUAGAAGCCCUCCCUGGCCUCCCUGUGCACUGAGCUGGUGGUUCCUCCUUUGCGCCCCAGGUACAUGCUCAGAUCUGUGUACCCUACACUUUGUCCUCCAGCUUCGUGUUUGGAUGUUCACAACUCCCAUGAGAAGGGCCCCCGAGAGCUGGCACAGUGCAUGUGUUUCCUCUCCAGACUUCUACAAACCUGGCACAUAAUUGUUUGCUGAAAGAUGGCAUGUUCCUAAAACAGAGGAAGUAGAACCGAAUAAAGCGAAAUCCAACUUCCCACUCCCUGCUCUCACUUCCUCUGGGACAGGCCUUGAGCAAGAGAGACAAAAAGAACAAGAGAUGAUCUUUCCCUUUAAUGGGAUUUCAGUCUGAUCAGGGAGAUAGUAACAGAAAGACUAGACUAGACUAGUGUAUGAUUAAAUGACAUUUGCCAUCCCCAGAAGAGGGAGAGACCUGCAUGGAACAGGGUGGUCAAGGCAGGCUUCCUGGAGGAGGCAAAGACUUAGAUUUAACAGUACCAGAGCUCCAGGAUAGAUCCUCCUCUGACUGAACUCCCUAUUUCUUUCUCCCACCCCAACCUUCCCGGGUCCCCAGCUGAAGGGAUACGUGUGUGUGUGUGUGUACAUGUGCCUGCACACAUGUACACAUGUGGUUAGAAAGGGGGUAUUAGUAUCUCUCUCCUAGGAUGGAGUCUCAAGGACAGGCCCAUCAUCUCCUCAGUUUGCCCCUCUCUCUCCCACUUCACCUAGGGAAUGGAAUAAGAAUGGGAUAAGUAUAACACAAUGAGACGAAUGCAGAACCAACUAGAUGUACACCCAACAAUGUGGAUGAACCUUAAAACAGUGCUGCCUGAAGAAGGCAAGAAACAGAAUGAAAUCUGCAGCACAUCAUUCAUAUAAACUAAAAAUACAUGCACAGAGAAAGGCCACUUUUUUUUUUUUGGAGACAAAGUUUCGCUCUUGUCACUCAGGCUGGAGUGCAAUGGCACGAUCUCGGCUCACUGCAACGUCCACCUCUAGGGUUCAAGCGACUGUCCUGCCUCAGCUUCUAGAGUAGCUGGGAUUAUAGGAGCCCACCACCAUGGCCGGCUAAUUUUUGUCUUUUUAGUAGAGACGGGGUUUCACCAUGUUGCCCAGGCUGGUCUCAAACUCCUGACCUCAGGUGAUCCACGUGCCUCGGCCUCCGAAAGUGCUGGGAUUACAGGCGUGAGCCACCGCACCCAGUCAGCAACGUAUGUUUUGUAGAGACACAGACAAAGAUGUGAUGUCAAACACACUAAUGUGGUUGCCUCAUUUAUGGAUGGGGGACUGGGCUGGUGAAUGAGGAUUAAAGGAAUAAAUAAAUAAAACAAGAGAGGGCCUCUGUACAGAACGGUGAUGACAGCGUGCCGUCGAGGAGAAUGAUGAACUCAAACUUUUGCACCUGAGAGCCAAACAAAAGCUCAAAACCAAAAUCUCUCUUAGAAAUGAUGCCACUGACUUUAGGAUGGCACUCAUAUCUGUGUGAGUGGGAGAGAGAAGGGUUUGGGGCAGGGAUUUGACUGUAGCUGUAAUGUUUUAUUCCUUUAAAAAAGAUAAGAUAAUCUGAAACAAAAUGUUAAUAUCUGUUGAAUCUGGGGAGAGGCUAUGAGGGUUUCUGUUAAACCAUUUUGUGUACAUUUUAAAUACAGUCAUGCAUGAGUUAAUGAUGGGGAAUAAGUUCUUAGAGAUACGUUGUUAAGCAGUUUUGUUAUUGUGUGAACAUUAUCGAGUGUACUUACACAAACUUAGGAUGGAAUAGCUGACUAUAUAACUUAGACUAUAUGGUCUAGCCUAUUGCUUGAAGGCUGCAAACCCAUACUCCAUGUUACUGUACUGAAUAAUGAAGACAAGUGUAAUACGAUGGCAAGUAUUUGUGUAUCUAAACAUAGAAAAGGUACAGUAGAAAUGUGGUAUCGUAGUCUUAUGAGAGUACUGUUGUAUAUGCAAUGCUUUGUUGACUGAAACAUCAUUAUGUGGUUCAUGACUGUAUAUCAUAAUUUUAAAAAAUAUUUUAAGAGGUUGCCAAUCAAGACACUACAAACUAAUUUUGUGGCUUUUGUCAAAAUUCAUUUCUUUCUUUCUUUUUUUUUUUUUUGUUUUGAGACAGGGAUCACUCAAGCAAUCCUUCUGCCUUA